rnacentral:rRNA from 1 species
UACGUAGGGUGCGAGCGUUAAUCGGAUUUACUGGGCGUAAAGCGUGCGCAGGCGGCCCGUUAAGACAGGUGUGAAAUCUCUGGGCUCAACCUAGGAUUUGCGCUUGUGACUGGCGGGCUCGAGUACGGUAGAGGGGGGUGGAAUUCCUGGUGUAGCAGUGAAAUGCGUAGAGAUCAGGAGGAACACCGAUGGCGAAGGCAGCUCCCUGGGCCUGUACUGACGCUCAUGCACGAAAGCGUGGGGAGCAAACAGG